rnacentral:rRNA from 1 species
GACGAACGCUGGCGGCGUGCCUAAUACAUGCAAGUCGAGCGCUUCUUUCCUCCCGAGUGCUUGCACUCAAUUGGAAAGAGGAGUGGCGGACGGGUGAGUAACACGUGGGUAACCUACCCAUCAGAGGGGGAUAACACUUGGAAACAGGUGCUAAUACCGCAUAACAGUUUAUGCCGCAUGGCAUAAGAGUGAAAGGCGCUUUCGGGUGUCGCUGAUGGAUGGACCCGCGGUGCAUUAGCUAGUUGGUGAGGUAACGGCUCACCAAGGCCACGAUGCAUAGACGACCUGAGAGGGAGAUCGGCCACAUUGGCAGUGAGACACGGCCCAGACUCCUACGGGAGGCAGCAGCAGGGAAUCUUAGGCAAAGGACGAAAGUCGGACAGAGCAACGCCGCGGGAGUGAAGAAGGUGUUAGGAUCGGAAAGCUCUGUUGUUAGAGAAGAUGUAGGACGUUAGUAACUGAACGGCUACUGACGGUAUCUAAACAGAAAGCCACGGCUAACUACGUG